UUACCAAUAUUUAGAGAUCAACAGAUUUCAAAUGUGGCAACCCUAGAAGCUCAUACCACCACUUGGCAACAAUCUCCUGUGCUGAGUGCAGAGCACUUACCGACCCUUUAGGCAUCUGAAAGCCCUGUCAGAAAAUGAAGAAUCUGAUUGGUUUCAAAGAAGAAAUUAUCAGUUGCUCACUCUGGCUAUAGAAAAAUCUGAAUAAUGCUCCCAGGAAAUGUACAGCUUUUAGCAAAGUGACUGGCCUGGAAAUCUACCCGUAAGAAUUACUUGCAAAACACACCCUUAAGUAAAGAAAUGAACCUGGUAUUUAGUUACCGGAUCUUAGCAAUUAGAUUUGAGGACAUGUACCAAAAUAAUCAUUUUAGUUUUAGAACUGGUGAUCUUUACCCAUUCUUUGUGACAAAUGGUAAAGCACAAAAUCAAACAUACACUAAAGCUCAUUAUAAUAAAAUAUCAGCAUUAAAGAAGAUAAUCGACUUGAUCUCUAAAGUAAGGUAGCAUAAGUCCAAAUAAUCCAAAAGUGGUUUCAAAUUAUUUAGAUAUAGGUUAAAAACAAGGAGGGCCACAACUUGCCUGUUUUAUGCUACUUGAAAUACUUUGUGAUCUGUCUGAACACCGAUUCUAUUGAUCUGGACUUUCAAGGUCAUGUAGACGUCCUGAUUUUACAAGAACUAGGAUUCUAUAUUGAUCUCAAGGAAUUUAACCUUCUUGUCCACAGAGUCAAAGCCUGAGAAAUGAUUCAAAGCUGCAAACAUUCUUUUAAAAAUAAAGUUUACUUUUUCUAAGUAUAAAAUAAAUGUACACUAUCAACAAUUUAGAAAAUAAAGAAUCCAAGUUAUUUUUCCUUCUAACUUUUUGAGAAGUUUCAAACUGACACAAUAUAGAUAUGCAGGCCAAGGGUCCUCCCAGUUACUAAUGCUGAGCCACAAAUUUACUCAGAGCUUCUUGGCAGUCAAAGGGAAAGGAGAAAACAGCCCGUUAUAUAAUUCACAUUGCCUAUAAGGAGAAAACAUAUCAGUUACUCAAGGGUAGUGAAGUGUUUCAGGACAUUUGGCGGAGAGAGAAAAUUCUCUUGUGUUCAUUUAAUAAGGAAUACAAAACCAUAUCACACCCAGCAACCACCCUACAGUAACUGCAUUGGUGAGUUCUGUAAACUAGGUGGUCUAGAAUCCCUGAGUCUUAGCAGAGCAGAGUAUAAAGGUAGCAGCCUGGGUGCUAAGAGCAUGGACUCUAGAGCCCAACUAUCCAGAUUUGAAUCAUGGUCCAUCACUUAUUAACUUUGUGACCUUGAGUAAAUUUCUUAACCUUCUAUGCCUUAGUUUCCUGACUUAUAAAGUACCGUGAUUAAUAAUAUUACCUACCUUAAAGGGCUGUUUUGAGGCUUAAAUGAGUUAAUGCCCAUAAUGUACCUAAAACAGUAUGUGGCACAUAGUUAGCAUCAUCAUUAUUACAGUAAAAGCUACAAUAAAGGUGUGCACAUGAUGUAAAAGUACAGAAGAAGGGCACUUACACCGACUAAGGCUCUGAGGGUAGGUUUGCAGGAAAGAAGAUGCCUGUGCUGGGUCUAAAUCUUGGCCUACUACUUAACUGCUGAGAGUAUGACCUUGGCCACAUUCCGUGAACUUUGUAUUUCCACCUGCUAAAGCAGAGAUAUAAUGUCAGCUGUUGAUCCAAUAAGGUGAUGUUUGCAAAAUUAAACGAGAUAAUAUAUGAGGAUUAGAUGAGCAAAUGUAACAAAGCAUGGCAUGUAUCACAAAUAAAUGUUUCCUCUCAGAUCUAGCAGAAAAGUAAACAAACCACUCUUGUAUUCAGUUUUUACAUGUGUCCAUUUUGUCCAAUUAAACAGUGUAUUUAUGUACAACAGAAGUAGUUGUACACAAAUAUUCAUUCACAUCACAACAAAACUACGUAGAAGAAAUGAUAAAUGAUCAGUACUGGCUUAGCACAACUCCUGUUUUUCGGUUUUUUUCCAUCACCAUGGAAAUGCCUUGGUAUAGCUAUGUCCAUUUUGGGGGCAUAUUCUGCCAACCUGUGGGAGUUGGUAAAUCUAAUACUUCGAUUUCCAUUAGGCAAAACUCCCCCCUCAUCUGUAUCACUUUAUACAGAAUUCUACUAUAGCAUGUAGUAUAUCAUGUUACAGCUACAGUUCAUUCAAUUUAUAGUCACUUGCUUCAUUUAAAAAGAACUAUGGUAACUAGCUACAUACUUAUGUGUUUUUUCCCCUCCUCAAACUGAAAGUUUCUUGAAUAACUGUAUCAUAUCUAUAGCAUCUGGACAGAAGCUGGCACAUAAUAUACUGACUUUCAGUGUUUGGUGAAAGGAUCCAAGUAGGAUUUGAAGUGCGCUGUUAGAAACAAAUGAGUCUAGCAUAAAGUUGGGGGGUUACUCUAGGAAUUUAUGUGAAAAAUAUAGACCCAGUCUGAUCCUCUCAUUUGGUAAAUGAGAAAACCGAAGUCUGAAAUGGUUCAGUGAUUUGUCCAAGGUUAUCCAGCUAGUGAAUGGCCAGAACCAAGACUAGAAUCUCAAAUUCCCAUCAGCCAUACCAGAGGCCAAUCCACUACACAGGCUUGCCUUUCACACCCCAGUAAUUCGGUGUCCAUCUCUACUACCUCACUAAAGCUGCUACUGUUGGUCACCAAUCACUUUUGUGUUGCUCAAUCCAGUCAAUGCUUUUCAGCCCUUGAUACACUUGACCUAUGUGUGGUCUCUGACUCUGCCGACUCCCUUUCUGUCUUGUAAUUCUUUCCUACCUUGGUUUCAGACGCAUUGCUCUCAUCUAUUUCUUUUAUCUCUCUGGCCAUUCUUUCUCAGACUUCUGUGUGGGCUUCUGCUCAUCUGCCACUCCCUUUUAAAGUUAGUGCUUCCCGGGGCUCUGUCCUUGGUCCUCUUUAUUGUUUCUUCUAUAUUUUCUCCCUGUUUGAUCUCAUCCAUGCCUAGGACUUAAAUGAACAAUUAUAAGUUAAUGUCUUCCAAAUCUAUUUUAUUUUAACUCAACUUCUGUCUUCAUUCAUAGACCUCUGUACUUCGACGGCUUAUUGGAUGUUUCCCUCUGGGUGUGGCAGUUCCCUCCAUCAAGUCACAAUCACAUUGCAGUAAUCUUUGAGGGAGCCUAAUAAACUGCAGCCUUCUGUCCCACACAGAGGAGGAUGCAGCAGGAGACUAACUAUCAUCUUUACUAUUGACUGUAUUACUUUCCUAUUACAGUUGUAACAAACUACCACAAACUCAGUGGCUUAAAACGACACACAGUUAUCUUACAGUUCUGGAGAUCAGAAAUCCUAAAAUCAAGGCGUCGGCAGAGCUGUGUUUUCUCUGGGGUCUCGAGAGGAGAAGCCAUUUCUUUGCCUUUUUCAGCUUCUAGAGGCUGUCUGCAUUCCCUGGCUCCAUCUUCAAAGCUAGCAGAGCAGAUUCUUCCAAUCUCUCUUUCUCUCUGACCUCUGCUUCCGUCCUAAUAUCUCCUUCUCUGACUCAGCCUCCUGCUUCCAUCCCAGCAGUAUAAUCCAAGAUAAUCUCCCCAACUCAAGAUCCUUCACUUAAUCACAUCUGCAAAGUUCCUUCCGGCAUGUAAGGUAACAUCUUCACAGGUUCUGGAGAUUAGGAGACGAACAUC
ensembl:lncRNA